UCCGAGUUGACCCCGGCAGUCUCCUAUGAGUCCCCGCCAUUACGCGCUGGCAACAUAGAACGAGGGUUGCGCUCGUUGCGGGACUUAACCCAACAUCUCACGACACGAGCUGACGACAACCAUGCACCACCUGUACACCGCCCUUGCGGACCCCGUGUCUCCACGAGUUUUCGGCGUAUGUCAAGCCUUGGUAAGGUUCUUCGCGUUGCGUCGAAUUAAGCCACAUGCUCCGCUGCUUGUGCGGGCCCCCGUCAAUUCCUUUGAGUUUUAGCCUUGCGGCCGUACUCCCCAGGCGGGGUGCUUAAUGCGUUAGCUGCGGCACAGAGGGCGUGGAAUACCCCCUACACCUAGCACCCACCGUUUACGGCGUGGACUAC
rnacentral:misc_RNA from 1 species